AGCACGUACAGUUUCAUUGUGUAAAAAAUAGUAGCAGGUGGGUAUUUUAGCAGUUCAGCUAUCUGAAAGAGAAAAUGAGUUGCUUCAGCAGAAAACCGAGGUCAUGACAUUAGCCACUUCACUGAAACCGGUCAGUUCAUCACUUCAUCUUUGUUCGUUGAUAUUCUUUUUUUUUGAGAGUACGCCAAAGGCAUACUUUUAUAAAAGAGAGAAAAUACAAUGUACAAGAAGCCUCGAAAUGGAUGCGAACAUCCACUCUCGACCACACCCCAGUACAACCAAAGCAGGUGUACUCUAAACACCCCAUUACAGAUAAUUAUUUACAGAUGUUCUCAUAGAUUUGGGAUGUAACAAUGGUUAACCUGCUCUUCAUGUUUUUUGAUAAUUGCUUUGACCAUCUGUUAAUUAGGCAUUACUAUGUAUCCGGCUUUUUCUAAGAUAUCUUUUAUGCCAUCAUGGCACUGAACCAUGAGUGAAGCAAUGAUGUAAACAACUCUGGGGUAUAACCAUUUGGCUGCUGGACUAAACAUUACAUAUUUAGUAACUAUUUCAAAACACAAAAUUUCAUGAUGAAAAAAUCAGCUUGUCCAUUUUCUUUUAUGGCUUGACUCUGUUCAAUCUUACAGAGAAAGGGACUGUUUUCUUCUUUUGUGACAUGACAGGAAGCAAGGUCAUGUGUAAGACGGAGGAGGAAACUGAUUUGGCUCUUCAUCACGUUGAGACUGUUGCAGCCAUGUGUGAUGUGUCAAUUUCUAUGAUGGGACAAAGGGUAGAAUCAGGAUGAUAUGGCUAAGAAAUAGUAGCAAAUAAGUGACUACUAGGGUGUCCGUACUAGCAACAUAAGUUACAUAAAUUUAUUGAUCUUGAACUAAUUUGCACAUUCUUUAUUUAUCCGUAAUUUAGUUUUGCUUCCAUCCGAAAAACAUUAUAAAUCAGUAAUAAAGAUAUGUACGGAUGAAAAACUAUGUAAAUAUUAGACAACUAUUUAUUAACAAUUAUUUGAUGUC